rnacentral:rRNA from 1 species
GAACGCGAAGAACCUUACCCGGGCUUGAAUUGCAGACGUAGGAUACAGAGAUGUUGACUCCCUUCGGGGCGUCUGUGAAGGUGCUGCAUGGUUGUCGUCAGCUCGUGCCGUGAGGUGUCGGCUUAAGUGCCAUAACGAGCGCAACCCCUUUCCUUAGUUGCCAUCAGGUGAUGCUGGGCACUCUGGGGACACUGCCACCGCAAGGUGUGAGGAAGGUGGGGAUGACGUCAAAUCAGCACGGCCCUUACGUCCGGGGCUACACACGUGUUACAAUGGCCGGUACAGAGGGACGGUGCAAUGCAAAUUGCAUCCAAUCUUGAAAGCCGGUCCCAGUUCGGACUGAGGUCUGCAACCCGACCUCACGAAGCUGGAUUCGCUAGUAAUCGCGCAUCAGCCAUGGCGCGGUGAAUACGUUCCCGGGUCUUGUACACACC